UAGUAUGUCCUGCCUCUGUUUCUGAUGCCCAGUAACUCAAACUAAGAGAAGCUACGUUCCUGCUGUGACCCCACUAUGGAUAUCUGGCUCCUGUGUUGGAUAUUUUUUAGUUUUAUGAAAGCAGGACUCACGGGACCCAAAGUCAGGCAGACCCCAAGUCAUGAAGUGGUACAUGUGGGGCAGAUGGUGACCCUCAGCUGUGACCCUGUUUCUAAUCACAUAUUCUUUUAUUGGUAUAAACUGAUCUUGGGACAGCAGAUGGAGUUUCUGGUUUCUUUCUCCAGUGGUAAAACCGUGGACAAGUCUGAUCUAUUCAAGGAGGAUCGGUUUUCAGUUGAAAGGAAAAAGGAUUCAUAUUUCACUCUGAAGAUCCAGCCCACAAUGUUGGAGGACUCAGCCAUGUACUUUUGUGCCAGCAGCUUAUCCACAGCCUUGCAAAAACACCUCCUUCCUGUACACAAACCCUCAUGUGUCUGCCUCUCUCCUGGUGUGCAGGCUUAG